AGUGAACGCUGGCGGUAGGCCUAACACAUGCAAGUCGAACGGCAGCACAGUAAGAGCUUGCUCUUACGGGUGGCGAGUGGCGGACGGGUGAGGAAUACAUCGGAAUCUACUUUUUCGUGGGGGAUAACGUAGGGAAACUUACGCUAAUACCGCAUACGACCUACGGGUGAAAGCAGGGGAUCUUCGGACCUUGCGCGAUUGAAUGAGCCGAUGUCGGAUUAGCUAGUUGGCGGGGUAAAGGCCCACCAAGGCGACGAUCCGUAGCUGGUCUGAGAGGAUGAUCAGCCACACUGGAACUGAGACACGGUCCAGACUCCUACGGGAGGCAGCAGUGGGGAAUAUUGGACAAUGGGCGCAAGCCUGAUACAGCCAUACCGAGUGGGUGAAGAAGGCCUUCGGGUUGUAAAGCCCUUUUGUUGGGAAAGAAAAGCAGCAGGUUAAUACCCCGCUGUUCUGACGGUACCCAAAGAAUAAGCACCGGCUAACUUCGUG
rnacentral:rRNA from 1 species